rnacentral:rRNA from 1 species
UACGUAGGGUGCAAGCGUUGUCCGGAAUUAUUGGGCGUAAAGGGCGCGUAGGCGGCUUGCCAAGUCAGGGGUGAAAUCCUGGAGCUCAACUCCAGAACUGCCUUGAUACUGAGGAGCUUGAGUCCGGGAGAGGUGAGUGGAACUGCGAGUGUAGAGGUGAAAUUCGUAGAUAUUCGCAAGAACACCAGUGGCGAAGGCGGCUCACUGGCCCGGUACUGACGCUGAGGUGCGAAAGCGUGGGAGCAACAGG